ensembl:lncRNA
AAGCAUUUCUUUCUAGGAAAAUGAUCUGCCAAUAAGUUGUUGGUUUGUCAGACUAAGCUGAAGUUUUUGUUCAGGGUUGAUCUGAACGGGUUUCAGCCAAACUACACAAUAACCGACUGAACAUUUUUAACAGUUCUGGGAAGGAUGGAGGUAAGUCUCUCAGAAAUGGUCCAAUGAGAUCUGCUUUUCCCUUCUAAUUUGUUGUAAAACAUCCAUUGAUUUCUACAUUACUUUGUUUUUCACAGUGAAAUUUGCUAAACAAAAUUAGUAAUUUUUUUAAUUUUCAAUGAAAAAGUAAGAAAAAAUGUGCAAUGUCUUGAAUAAACUAAAUAUAUCUGCAUUAUUUCUAUGUCACUAUUUAUAUAGAAGUAAAUUUUUGACAAAAAGUCGUAUCGCUUCGGUUGAAGCACGUGUACUUGAACCCCACUGAACACCUUUGGGAUGAACCGGAACUGGAGUCUCCUCACACCAACAUCAGCCCCUGACCUCAACCUCACUAACGCUCUUGUAGCCGAACGAACACGAAUCCCCACAGCCACACCCCAAAAUCUAGUGGAAAGCCUUCCCGGAAGAGUGGAGCGCAUGAUAACAGUGAAGAGAGAAUACAUCUAGAACAUCUCUUCCAUACUGUGCAUUUAAAUACAGCUCAGCAUGCUUUCCAGGAAGACUGCAUUAUUGAACACAGUCAGAUUUACUAAACAAAAUGAGUUAGUAAAAAAUUCAGAUAAUUACAGUACAAGGUAAAAUAUGAUGAUUAAACCACCGGCAUGAAGCAUCUGAAAAGUGAAGAAAGUUUACAUUAACAGCAAGGAUGUCUGUGUAAUAAGCUACAGACUGAAAUACAGUCGAAUAAUAAUGUAUAGAUCUGUACAGGGCUGCACAAUUAAUCGGAUAUCGAUCUCGAUUUUGACAGCCCACGAUUAAAUGAACAUGAUUGACUGCGAUAUUGACGUUUAAAGUUCGUCCUCCGCUCACAGAAAACUCUGCUGCAGAUCAAAUCAAGCGCUUCCUAAAAUUAACAUUACAUUCACUUGUGUAUCCUCCGUCGAGUUCACUGUGAACCCUCACGCUGUGACAGACUGUUAUAAAUGCGAGUGAAAGCGAGGAAAGUUGCACAGCAUUUCGUUUCUUUACACUACAUUCGGGAGAAGGACAACUGAGUGAUUUUACAGAUAUAAGGCUCAGAAUAAUGCUGAGCUGUGCUAGCUUUUCAGUGUAAAUGCAGAGACUUACUUUAGGAUAAAUAAAUUAUAUAAAUAAUAAAUAUAAAGUUGGAAGUCUAUUGCGAUUUUUAAAGGAAUAAUCUGUCAUAUGUUCAAGUACAGCAUAGAUUAUAGUCACAUGGUUUACGUAAACAUAUUUUGGAUAUGUAAUUUGUACCCAUUAGAAGUUAUUCUAUGUGCUACUUCUGGAAAAUUCAUCAUUCUAUUCGGCAGGUGCGAUUUCUUGCAUUUUAGCACCAUCUAGUGGAUCUUGUUGAAAUAGAAGAAUAUUUGAGUAAAUGAACCAUUUCUUAUGUUGACCGCGUUUUCACUACCUUGUAAGAGAUGAACCGGAAGUAGCCUGCUUGCAUGUGUCUGUAAAGAUACUCCACCUUUAUCACAUUCUUAGAAAAUUUCCUAAAAUGUU